AUUCCAGCUCCAAUAGCGAAUACUAAUUCUGCUGCAGUUAAAAAGCUCGUAGUUGAACUUCUGGUAGGACAGAUCCGGCCUUUGGAUGAAUGUCCAUUGUAUGCUGUGUGUCUUGUCUGGCCAUCCUUUAUGUCUUUUAGGCGUAAUCUUUCACUGUAAAAAAAUUAGGGUGUUCAAAGCGGGCUUACGCUUGAAUAUAUUAGCAUGGAAUAACACGAUAGGACUCCUGUCCUAUUCUGUUGGUCUUCGGGAUGGGAGUAAUGAUUAAGAGGAACAGUUGGGGGCAUUCGUAUUUCAUUGUCAGAGGUGAAAUUCUUGGAUUUAUGAAAGACGAACUUCUGCGAAAGCAUUUGCCAAGGAUGUUUUCAUCG
rnacentral:rRNA from 1 species